rnacentral:rRNA from 1 species
UAGGGAAUAUUGCACAAUGGGCGAAAGCCUGAUGCAGCAACGCCGCGUGCGCGAUGAAGGCCUUCGGGUCGUAAAGCGCUUUUCGGGGAGAUGAGGAAGGACAGUAUCCCCGGAAUAAGUCUCGGCUAACUACGUGCCAGCAGCCGCGGUAAAACGUAGGAGGCAAGCGUUAUCCGAAUUUACUGGGCGUAAAGCGCGUGCAGGCGGUUCGGUAAGUUGGAUGUGAAAGCUCCUGGCUCAACUGGGAGAGGUCGUUCAAUACUGUCGAACUCGAGGAUGGUAGAGGGAGGUGGAAUUCCCGGUGUAGUGGUGAAAUGCGUAGAUAUCGGGAGGAACACCAGUGGCGAAGGCGGCCUCCUGGGCCAUUCCUGACGCUCAGACGCGAAAGCUAGGGGAGCGAACGGG